UACGUAGGGGGCAAGCGUUGUCCGGAUUUAUUGGGCGUAAAGAGCGUGUAGGCGGCCAGGUAGGUCCGUUGUGAAAACUUGAGGCUCAACCUCGAGACGUCGGCGGAAACCCUCUGGCUAGAGUCCGGAAGAGGAGAGUGGAAUUCCUGGUGUAGCGGUGAAAUGCGUAGAUAUCAGGAGGAACACCUGCGGUGUAGACGGCUUUCUGGACCAUUGCUGACGCUGAGACACGAAAGCGUGGGUAGCAAACAGG
rnacentral:rRNA from 1 species